rnacentral:lncRNA from 1 species
CGCCCCAUAUACCUUGUAAAUUCAAAAGUCAACAAGACCUGGAAGUACAGGAGACCCUCCAGCUGGAGGAGGAAGUGGAGGACAGUGGGCCUUGCCUGUGAAGUCGGUCAAGGGCUGUUUCAGUGCCCUCUGCCCCUGCCCCUAGCUAGACUGCUCCACCCACGGAGUCCUGAGAUUUCCUGAUCUCUUACCUUCAUAUCCUGUCACCAGAGCUAUUCCAGCAACAGCUUAGAUGUGGACAUGGCCUUCAAAGCCACCUGUCUCAUAUAUUCCCACCACCUAUGGGGAGGUAGCAAGGAUGGGGAGUGCCUUGUUCAAGGCCAACGUUAGAGUAGAUAAAGUGGAAAGAGCCUGAGCUGCAGUCUGGAGGCCCAGGCUUGGCUCAGUGCAGCCUUACUUUCUCCACAGGUUCACGUGGAUAAAGGAGGGACUAGAGCUUCUGAAAGCAUAUUCCGCCUAUGGGACCACUCACUGCUCUUUGUAUUCAAAACACCAUCUUCCCGGAAAAACAAAGCUGGACCCUACCGGUUUGGGAGUCUGAUGCAGUGGACCCCCCAAGAACACUAAGCAAAGCUGUCAUUUACUUGUAUGGUCUUGAAUAUAAAUAAUUAUUUUGCUGUCUCACCUCGAAAUCAGCUUGGAAGAUAAGUUGUAGAAGAAAAGAGACUACUGGGCACAGACACCUGGACUCUGACCCUGGUUCAGUCACCUAUUGGCCAUUUGACUCUAACAUCAUCUCACUAAACAGAGCUUUGUUCAUCAGUAAAAUAUUGAGACAAUAUUUUUUCUUGGACUGUUUCAUUAGAAUAUUAAACACACCACAUAUCACAUGCAUGGCUUAUAGUAGGAAUUAAGUAUUGAUUUGUCUGUGAUAACAAUUAGCUGAUAUCAGAAAAUCAGCUCAAAGAUAUUGGAAUGUGUGAAGAUACUGUUUUUUUUUAUUAAAUCAUUGGUA